GAGAGAAGCUUGCUUCUCUUGAGAGNGGCGGACGGGCUGAGUAAUGCCCUAGGAAUCUGCCUGGNUAGUGGGGGAUAACGAUCCGGAAACGGACGCUAAUACCGAUAUACGUCCUACGGGAGAAAGCAGGGGACCUUCGGGCCUUGCGCUAUCAGAUGAGCCUAGGUCGGAUUAGCUAGUUGGUGGGGUAAUGGCUCACCAAGGCGACNAUCCGUAACUGGUCUGAGAGGAUGAUCAGUCNCACUGGAACUGAGACACGGUCCAGACUCCUACNGGAGGCAGCANUGGGGAAUAUUGGACAAUGGGCGAAAGCCUGAUCCANCCAUGCCGCGUGUGUGAAGAAGGUCUUCGGAUUGUAAAGCACUUUAAGUUGGGAGGAAGGGCAGUUACCUAAU
rnacentral:rRNA from 1 species